rnacentral:rRNA from 1 species
GCGAACGCUGGCGGCAUGCCUUACACAUGCAAGUCGAACGAGACCUUCGGGUCUAGUGGCGCACGGGUGCGUAACGCGUGGGAACCUGCCCUUAGGUUCGGAAUAACUCCCCGAAAGGGGUGCUAAUACCGGAUAAUGUCUUCGGACCAAAGAUUUAUCGCCUUUGGAUGGGCCCGCGUUGGAUUAGCUAGUUGGUAGGGUAAAAGCCUACCAAGGCGACGAUCCAUAGCUGGUCUGAGAGGAUGAUCAGCCACACUGGGACUGAGACACGGCCCAGACUCCUACGGGAGGCAGCAGUGGGGAAUAUUGGACAAUGGGCGAAAGCCUGAUCCAGCAAUGCCGCGUGAGUGAUGAAGGCCUUAGGGUUGUAAAGCUCUUUUACCCGGGAUGAUAAUGACAGUACCGGGAGAAUAAGCUCCGGCUAACUCCGUG